rnacentral:lncRNA from 1 species
AAAAGUGGUUGCAACUUGAAACAUCAUGUUCAGGCCUCCUCGAAGGUGGGUUGGCGCCAUCUCAGACAAAUAGAGCGGGAUAGCCUUCAAAAAGGUAUAACUGGAUUGUUAUCAAACAUACUUUUUUUCCUGUAGAAUUUGAUGAGCCUACGUUAACAUUCACAUAAUUAAUAUUGACAGUCACUUUUCAAAGCUACAUUUGAUACUUUGGUUAACUAGACUUUAGAGUUUGGUUUUACAGACAAAAGGUUGCUCAAUUGUUCCUUUUAUUAAUAAACCAAUGUUUUACAUCAACAUAAAAAAUUGUUUAUAUUUUUGCUCUGUAAUGGAUCAAAGAUUAUUGAAAAGAAAUGCUGCUACCUGAUUUCCAAAUCCAAUGCCAACACCUUGCAAAAUCCUUCCUAUGAUGAGCAUUUCCAGAUUAACAGCUGCAGCAUUCAGAGCUGAGCCAAUGAGAAAGCUGAUACCACCGACUAUGAUACUUGUUCUUCGUCCAAACUUCCUUGUAACUGGAGCUGCGACCAGAGAUGCAACAAAACCAGCAAUGUAUAAAGUAGAGGUAAAUGCAGCAAUGCCCUGAUUGUUAUACUUGCAGUAGUUGUUUUCAUGUGCUUGCAUUUUAUGUUUGUACACUGAGGGGAAAAAUAUCUGAAGAAAGUCAUCCAUGGAAGCAACUCCUCCUGUUAACCAUGGCACGUGCGUCAACUUUAUGAUAAAUGACUAUGAUGAUGAAGGUUAUGCUUAUUUACAUAUUCUGAUAAAGAAAAUGAUGAAUAUGAUCCAUCAGAAAAAUAAAUAAAAAGCUUAAUUUGGGGGUCACAUUGAUAAUCUUGACCUAGUUAUAUUUAUUUUUUAUGUGAGUGAUAAAGUGGUUCUAACAAUUAGUCAGAAUAAAAAGGUGGUUCUAACUUCAAUGAUUUAGUCUACCGCAAGCUAUCCAUUCUGAAUUGAUUAAUAUCGAAUAUUUCUUUAAAUAAGAUUAAAUGUUAGCUCAUAAUAGUAGUAGAUCGUACGCCAUGUUCCAAAAGGUUAUUAAAAUAAUUUGUUAUCUUUGUUGGAGGGCAAGUGUCGGGUGGUAAUAAGACAUACGACAUUAUCAUACAGAUGACAUAAGUAAAUUAGAUCUAGGACAUCAGAAUCAAAAUUAAAUACUAAGCAACAAUGAGUUUAACAAGUGGAUGUAUUUAUUAAUUUGAAAUUUAGAUUAAAUUUAUUAACUUUUUUUAAGUCACUUUGUUAUAUUUCAUUUGGAGGGGAGGAUCAUGCAAUUUGAUGCGGGAUUUGUCACUUAACCAUUACAUAUGAGCAUUUGAAAUUAUUUGAAGAAAAAAAUGUCCAAGUUGAAAUUGUACUUAUGAGAAAAUACUUGGGAAUUGCAUCUUAGAAUUAUAGGGGAGAGGGCUUUAAGCACUUCAGCGAGACUUUAGAGUAAUCACGAGAUUGGCACUUUUUUUGGUUUUAAUGGAAUAGGAUCUUAGUGAUUCGGAUUUGACUGAAAAAUAAAUAAAUUUUUAUAAAAAUUGUUGCAGAUUCAAAAUUAGACUCUUAUGAAUGAUUUGUUUAUAGUUACAUACAAUAAAAAUCAUUCAUAAAUAAAUAUUAGUAUAUUCAUUUUAAAAUUUUAUUGUAGGAUUUAUUUUAUAUAUAAUACCAAUUAAUUAUAAUUAUUAGAUUAUUAAAAAUAAUUGAUUUUUAUUAUAAUUAUUUUAAAAUUGUGUUUAUGAAUUAUUAUAAUGUAUUAACACAGUAAAAAGAGAAGAAUGUUUAUUAUUUAAAAAAAAACUGAGUUUCUAUUUAAAUCAAUUGAGUUAUUUUCUUUAUCAAAAUAUGCAUUUAGUUGAAACGUGGGAUUAAGUACUACUAUAUCCAUGCAUCUUUCCUUGUUUUUAAUUCAAGCACCGUAUCUUUCCUUUUUUUAACUCUAGCCAUGUAUCUUUCCUGUUUUUUUUUUACUCCCAUGUAUCUUUCCUAGGUCUCUUUUUUUGUGUUUUUCCUCUAGUUUGCUGUUUUUCUCUCUCCCACUAAUUGUCUUUCCCAGUUGUUUUUUUUGUUUUGUUGUGAAAAGGCAUCUUUCCCACUAGGCCACUUGUUCCCUCACGAGAACUAUUCAUCUUCCUUCUCCAUAUGUCUUUAUCUUUUAUGUGUAAACUGCAAAUUCCAUAAGAACCGGUGUUAACCAAACCGGUUUAUAAGAACCGAUUCACGGUUCAAUCGGUUCAAGGAGGGAGAAGCAAAUCAUGCGACUAGUAAACUUAAGAUAUGACAGAUUGAAAAUGUUGGAAACAUACAUAUAGACAUGAAAUUAAUAUUAAUAACACUCGAUCGGAAAAACGAGAUUCGUUUAUAAACUCAGAAAAUUGAAAUACAUGAUAGCUAGCAAGAUUUAGGAUUAAGAAGAGAACCUGAAAUUCCAACGUCAUAGCCGAAGAGGGACCCGCCAGUAGCAGCAACAAUGCAAGCGAUGAUGACAUGAACUGUGACCCUCCCUUUAUAUUGUUCUGCUCUUCCGUUAGUACUGCUACCCACACCACCAAGAAUGGAAGGUCCAUCUUCCAUUUCCUUAUAACAGGAGGCAUGUAAGGGAUAAUAAUACUUUAUUAUUGAUGUUGUAAAACAUACAUCACUUCAAUCUCACCUUCAAUUUUAUUAUAUACACAACUUGUAAAGUAAGUAGUAAAUAAACUAGGGUACCAACCUAUACUUUGCUCCGUGAUUAUUUUAUGAAAAUAGUGCCUCAACUUUUUUGACCUAAUCUCUGUUUAAUUAUUAUGCAUUAUUGCUUCCCGCACUCAACGUUCAAAACACGCAGCUCCUUUUCAACUGUAUCAAAGUUCAAAACUACUUCUAAUCUCACAUAUACAUCUAAGCAAGGGAAAAGCUGUUCAAUGGCCUAAAAUAGAUAUAAAUUUGUAUCAUUUUUAGUAUACUAAUUUCAUUUAAUUAAUGAUCCUUUAAGAAAUUAGUUGCACAUUUAUUAGGAGUUAGUUACAACUGGCUUAAAAGUUAGAUAAUUGAUUGUCAAUAGACAAUUUGGUCAUUAGUUUACUAGGUUUCCCAAACUUUUAUAUAGAUUUUUUUUAGUUUCAAAAUACGGUUUAAAAUAAUUUUUAAUUAUAUUAUUGAGUUAAGUCGUACAAUAAUUUUUUUUUUAAGCUGUGGUAUUGUUUAAAAUUGGACAAACAAACUAUCAAUUACGACAUCUUUAAAAUAAAACAGCUCAGUUACGAAAGUAGUUCAGAAGUGUAGAGAUAAAAAAUUUUUAGAAAUUGCAUCUAAUAUUAUUGUGAUUUUAUUGAGAAUUUGACACUUUUUAUAUAGUAAUAGAAUAUAUUUAAUGAGAAACUUAUCUAUAGAUUUAUAAGUUAACAGAUAUAUUAAAAAAAUUCGAUUAUAAAAUUUUGUAUAUUUUUCUAAUUCACAUUUAAAUUCUACAAAUAUUUUAUCAUGUAUUUAUUUGAUAUCUUUUUUAGUCAAUUAAUAUGAACUCUAGAGUUUUUUUUUUUCUAUCAAACUCUGAAACUUAUUUUUCCAUGAGAAAUUUUUAUAUCUCUUUGAUACUGUGAUUUUAACACCCUUCAAUUAAUUUAAAUUUACUAUCCUUUUUAGUCUAUUAAUAUAAACUCUAGAACAAAUUUUGAUUAAGGAUUGAUGGCAUUCAACAUGACCCAGCUUGUUUUAACAUGUAUUGUAGCUAUAAAUAAUUUAUACUAACAACGAUUGUAAUCCGUUAAUUAUGUGAUUAUUUAAUGUUGACACUUAAAAUCAUAAUGUGAAAUAAUAUAAUAAUUCUUGUUAGCACGUCUUUUUCUCAAUUUUUUAAGGUAGAGAUUUGAUCAAAAUGAUGAUGAUUGCCUAAGACUUUGUGGUGCAUAGUUGAGCAUAGGCUAGGUAGAUGGCUAAUCUGAUACUAUAGAUCACUCAGUGGACUUUACUUCUGUUCUGCACCAUUCAGUGGAAUACUGCUAUUUUCAUUAACCAGAUCCCCAACAUAUCACAUUUUUUCCUUACAUGACUGUCCUAUUUACAGUAUGUACUAAGUUACAGUAUAGUUGAGCGUUUAACUGCAGAUCAGUGUGAACUCAGUCGUGCCCUUAAAUAUUUCUUUUUUCUUUUUCUGCAAAAAUCUUUUUGUUUAAACUCAUCUGUUCCAUCUCACCAUUUUCUUUUCCAUUUCUUUGUAAUGUAUUAUUAUAUUAUAUAUAAUUAUUAUCAGUGUAUGAGAAAAAUGUGUGUACACCAAUUUUAUACCGUGAACUAAAAUAGGUCAUUAAAUAUUAUAUAAUUAUAAUUUUCAUAAUCAAUAAUUAAAUAAUCACUUUUUUAUAUUUACUAUCACCUUGAAACUAUUCAGACUAACGAUAUUAUAUCCGUACUAUUAUACAUGUGAUGAUAUGAUAAUGGCAUAAUGCAAUCUCAUGGGACAGUUUUACCAAUUUUUUGUUGACAAAAAUAAAUAUUAGAAACUUGUACGAAAAGAAAAAAGUUUUUACACCAUUUUAUUAACCACCCGGGCCUUUUCUUUUUCAAGCCCGUGGUUUUGCACGGUUUUCACGAAUAAUUUGGAAAUAGCCAAUAGGCCGGUGAAACUAGGCUUUUGUAAAAUUAGGUGAAGUUUGUGAUUUUUUUUUAACAUAAAAUAUUUUUAAAAAAAAUUCUAAAAAUCAUUAUCUCUCUAAUAAAAUAUAAAUAUAGAUAAUAAUUGAAAUAUUAAUAUAUUUAAUUAAAAAUUAAAAAUAAAUACAUCAAUUUUUAGUUAAUUUUUUAAUUUAUAUUUUAUUUUAAAAUAAUAAUUUUCAAACUAUGCACUUGUCAAAAUGAGUUAAGGUCUUUAGUAUACAUACACUUUUUUUAUAUUCAAGACAGACUUAUAUAAAAACCUAGUGCAACAUGUUAAUUUAUUUAAAAAUAUAUUUUAUAUUAAUAUUUUUAGAUUAGUAAUUUAAUAUAUUUUUGAAUAAAUUAAUAUGUCAAUAAAGUUAAGUAUUCUUUUUUAAUUAAAAAUAAUAUUUAAAGAAAUUGAUUUUAAAUAAUAUUGUAUGUUAAUUUUAUUUUAUUAUAAUGUAUUUAAAUAUGAUAAAAAAUAAUAUAAUUAAAUUAUUAAAAGAUUAAUAAAAUUAAAAUUUAACAUAAAAUUAAAAUCUAAUAUAAUAAUAAUAAUAAUAAUAAUAAAUAAAAAUAUUAUUUAUAUUUAUUUAAAUAAACCGACUUAAUAUACAUAGAAGACUUUUUACAUGUUUUAAUCUGAACUUUUAAAUUAAAUAGGCUUAUAGAAAAAAUUAGAUUUUGUCUAUUUAAAAAAAAUUUGUUUAGACUGAUUUAAUUGUAGAUUAUACCGUACAUCCCUGAGAGAAUUUGACUUACUUCGAUCUUACAAAUCACCUAAUUUAUGAUACAACUUUACAUUUUUAAUCAAUAUUAUAUAUUAUAAUUUAAAAACAAUAAAAAUAGUAAAAUUAAUUCUUAACGAUUAUUAAAUUGACAAAUUCUAAAAAAUAAAUUGUAUUUUUUUUGACAUGGAUUGAGUUACGAGACACGUGAAUCAACUGUGAAGGAGAUUUUAAAGAUUAUAUUAUCGUCAAAAUCAAAUAAUAUUAAAAUAAAUUUUUAUGUGUAUCAUAGACCUAAGUUCUCACUUGUUUGUAAAGUAUUACAUAUAGAUAUCAACUUAGCCAACACAAUUCAAAAAAAAGAGAUUAAAUUUUUAUAAUAUAAUAAAUUUAAAUUUUUAUUCAAAAAGAAAAAUCUACAUCUAAUAUCCGACGGACUUCAAAUAUAAUUCUUUUUAAACGAAGAAAGCCUAUCAAAAAAACAAAAAAUAAAAUAAAAAGAUCAUAUCAGUUUAUAGUACAAGUUAAAUCAUAAUUUUGAUUUUUAAAACUACAAGAAUGGAGUAACAUGGUCUUUCAAUUAAUCAACAAGAUAGCAAAUCGAUUAUUUAAAUUGAAAAUUGUUAAUCAAUAUAAUACCUCUAUCAUCCAAUAGUGUCAAAAUUGAUGAGCCAACUUGUUGUCUACGGUGUAUGUUUUGAUAAAUUUGUAUCGAGAUUCCAUUAACAUCUAUUUUGUAAUUUAAAUCAGUUAGAGUUAAUUGACAAUACUUACUUUUAUAAAUUAAUUUUUCAUUUUAUAAAAGGAGAUAACUAAAUUGAUAUUUUUUUGAUAAAUUAAAAUAUCUUAUGCGCAUAAAUCUAAAGAUUAAUUUUUUGAAGUAAUUAAAAUAUAUUUAAAUGACUAAAAGUUUAAGCUUCGAAAAUGUGUGUCACCUCGUAUUGGAAAUAUAUAAUUAAAUUCCUUACUCCUGCUAUUUGGAGAAAUAAUUUUGACUACUCUUUUACUGUGAUAUUCCAACCGUCUCUUUAUAGGAUGCAACUCUAUGUAGAUUCUCUCUAAAUUUAGGUCUUGUCUGUUCCUUCCUUUUAUUCUUUAUGUUAUUCUUCUAUUUCUUUAACAACCAUUUUAAUAAAAUUAUAUGCUUGUGUUUUUCAUGAGUUAUAAAUUAAAUAAUAAUUUUUAAUGAUCUUUAUGUAUAUAUUUAUAGUUUUAUAUAGUGUAUACACGUCUAUUCUACAUUUUCUAUUUAAUUAAACAUUGCAAAAGAAAGUGUUAUCUUCUCAAACAAUAAAGAUUAUCUCACUUUUUAUGCAUUUUUAUUUAUUUAACACUAUUUCUUUUCAUUUUCCUUUUCAAUCCAAACAUUACUUUUAUUUUUCUAAUAAAAAAACAAAGCAUUAAUUUUGACAAUUUUGGUCACCUAACAUGUUCUUAAGAAAAUUCCACAGAUAAUAAUUAUAUAUUAAAAACGUAAAAUACAUGAUUUUUCAAAAAAAUUAAAAAUAUAAUUUUAGAUAUAAAAUUUAUAUGUUUAAUACAUUAACAAAUAUACACAUAUCCUAGUUUCACUUUAAACUUUUAAUGGAUUGAAACAUCCAGAAAUACAAAAGAACUCUUGGAUAUUGCAUCAAUCAAUCAAUUACAGGGAAGAAAAAAUAUUUUCAGCCGAAUUUGAGGAAAAACAAGGUAAGGAGAAAACCAAUUUCCAUGUUGCUACUUGCUAAUGCUGGCCACCUCCAUAGUAUAUAUGUCAUCAUUAGAAUGUCCUUCCAAGAGAGAAUCUCCUAUGUGGGCCAAUAAAUUAUUGCCUUGCCAAAAAUAAAAAAUACGUUUUUCUUCUAGAAAUUCUUACGUGCGAGAUAUAUGUAACACGUCACUCUUAGGCCCAACUAAUACUAAAAGUAUGGCAUGUAAAAAAUGAAAAGUAUAAAAAGGAAAUCAAAUUUCAUGCUUUUAAAUUUUAUCUCUCUUUAUUAAAAAAAAAAAAGUUUUAUCUCUCUUUCAAGUUUUCUGAGAUUCAAUUUUGGAAGUGACCACCUACACAUUUGUACCAAGGCAAGAAUUUCUCAACAUGUUUUUUGUCUUAAAGGUGUUGGGGUCAGGGUCUAUAGAGACCCUUUACUAUAGUUGUUAAAAAAAAGAUUAUAAAGACAAAAUUAACGACGGAAAUUGAGGAAUUUUUUUUCCUACGGACUACGGUAGUCACCUAAUAAUAUAUUAAAAGAAGCUUAUAUAGGAAUAUGUUCAAUAUAUAUAUCUUCAUCAAUCAUAAUUUGGAAACUAGUUAGAGAUGAGACUACUAUAAUAAGAACAUGAAGUGCCUCGUUUACACUAAAUUCAAUGAUAUUCAAUUUGUUACUAUUAAAAAGAUAUUAAUUACUUUCUUACAAUUUAAUUUAAAUGUAAUUAAGUUCAACUGAAACUCGAUAACCCACUUAAGGGUCUUCAAUAAACUUAGAGUUUCAUCCGUAUCCACUAAACACUAAAGUGAAAACUAUUUUGUUUUAGCUAAAACAAAUGUUCCAUUUUAGUCUCUGAUGUAAGCUUCGAGUUCAAUCCGUUGAGAUUGGGAUGAAAGCAAUACAUCGUUAAUAUUUCUCAUUGCAAUACUGAAUAGGGUGUCUGAUUUAUUCCUUUUUAUAGCUUGGUCAUUUAUUUUGCUAUGUUUGAUAAUUUAGAUCAAUACAUCAACCAUAAAAAAAAAAAAUAUGAAAAGGAAUAACUAUUUAGUUUAUUCAUUUUAUUCUUUAAUGGCAUUCAAACCAACACUCCUAUGCACGUUUAUCUGUUUUUUUUCCGUUGCACUAAAAUAUUUAUUAGAUUUCUUUAUUUAUUGUUUAUUAGAUUUUUUUAAAAUAAAUCUGCCACUGAAUAUUACUUUAUUGCAAUGAAAAAUUAAUUAAAAAAAUAAACAAAGGAAAGGACAAAAAUGAUAGAACGAUAACUCAAAUGUAGUUUUUAGAAGCUUUUUUAGGAAUAGUUUUAAUUUAACUUAAUUAUUCAUUCAAAUUAAAAAAAGUCAAUCGAUCAAGUACAAUAUACAUACAAAUUCGAUAAAAUUGAAAAUGAUAAAUAUGAAAACAAACUCAGAAAAUUGAAAUUACAAGUUUGAUAAAAUUUAAACGACUAAACUUCAAAUAUACAACGUUGAUAACAUUGAAAUUAUUUAUUGAAUCUGGUUGUAUUGAAUUAAAAUAAAUAUAAAUAAAAUAAACACCAAUGGAACAAAAAAACUAAACUCACACUUAAUUGACAUGUAACAUAAAACAACAAAGAAAAAGUUAAUUUAUGUAAAAAUUAUUUGUUUAGAUUAAAUUAUAAAAAAAAUGAUGUUGAUUUCAAAAAAAAAAAGUCAUAAAUCUUCUAUCUUUUAUAAUAAAGAAAAUGAAUAAUUUUUAAUAGUUAAACAAAUUGAAAAGUUAAGAUUUUUAUAUAUAAAAAAAAACUACCAAUAACAGAUCUAAACUAAUAAUAAAGACAAUACACCAAUUUGGUGUAGUCUAAUUUUUUCAUAUAUAGUAAUAAUAAAAAUAAUACACUACUUUGAUGUUGUCUUACAUAUUUACCUUGAUAUUUUUUUUUUAUUUUUUAUAAAAAAAAUCACUUAAUCUAUCGUUUAAAUAUAUAACGUUGAUAAUAUUGAAAUCAUUUAUUAAAUAUAAUUAUAUUAAAUAUAAUAUUAAAAUAAAUAUGAAUAAAAUGAAUAUUACAAUAAAACAGAAAAACUAAACGUCAUAUUUAUUGACAUGUAACAGAAAACAAAAAAAAAAGUUAAUUUAUAUAAAAAUUUAUUGUUUAGACUAAAUUAUAAAAAAAAACAAUGUUGAUUUCAAAAAAGAAAAAUAAAAAAUAUUCUAUCUUUUAUAAUAAAGAAAAUGAAUAAUUUUUAGUAGUUAAAGAAUUGAAAAGUUAAAAUUUUUAUAAAAAAAAACUACCAAUGACAUAUCUAUACUAAUAAUAAAGACAAUACACCAAUUUGGUGUAGUCUAAUUUUUUCAAAUAUAACAAUAAUAAAAACAAUACACUACUUUGAUGUUGUCUUACAUAUUUACAUAUUUACUUAGAUAGUCUUUUUUUUCUUCUUUUUUUUUCUAAAAGAAACCACUUAAUCACUAGUUUAAAUCAUUUUUCUUGCAAAAACACGUUUCAAUAUUUUAUUACUUACAUAAGUUUUUUUUUUAUAAUAAAUAAACAAAUAAAAAUCACUUUAUUUUGUAUACUUAUAUUUAUUUCAUUUAUCUCAUUUUAUUCAAAAUAAAAAUGACAUAAUAUUUUUUUUUUCACAAUCAAUUUACGUUGAGCAAUAAAAAAGUAGAUAAAUAAUGCCAUUUAGAAGUUAGUUAUAAUAAAAUUGAUCUCUCUAUUUUAAAAAUUGACAAUUUUUAUCCCUCCCUUUGAUUUUUUAACUAAAAAAUAAUCAUAUAAAAUAUUUUAAAUAACGUGACAUAUAAUAUGAUGAUGUAAAAUUAUUAAUAUCCGUGAAAUUGGAACAAAAUGCCAUAAAAACUUAUAUUUCAACUUUCAAAUUUUUUUAUAUUUUUAAUUUAAUUAAUGACAUAUAAAUAGUUAAUACAUCUAGAUGAUUCUAUAUCACAAAAUUGUAUGUCACGUUCUUAAAAAUAUGAAAAGUGAUCAUUUUUUAGUUAAAAAACUGAAAAAAUGACCAAAAUUAUCGAUUUUCAAAAUAGAAGAUCAAUCUCAUGAAUUGAUAAUAAUAAUAAAGGAACCAAAGUUACAAUUAAGUCUAAGAAAAAAAGACAAACUAUAUGAAAAUAAUGUAUUGUCUUUAUUAUUAGUAUAGAUAUAGAUAACUAUUUUUAUAUUCCUUUUGUUCUUUUCGACAGACUUGCUGUUAUAGAUAUUGAUAUGUAUUAUACAGUGUACUUAAUUAGAGCAUAUGACUAUUUUUAAUAGAUGAAAUUAAAAUUUUCAGUUACAUGUUGAUGAUAAGCAGUUGAUAACACAUCUAAGUAAUUAUAGUGAAACUGCUUAAUCAGACUCCUUGAAACUUUUUACAGGAUCCUUUUCCAGAACCAGUGUUUCCUCCACAUAAAUGUCAUUUCUUCAAUGGGAAUUCCCUUAGUUUCAGGUAGGAACAAAUAAAC